GAUGAACGCUGGCGGCGUGCCUAAUACAUGCAAGUCGAGCGAACGGACGAGAAGCUUGCUUCUCUGAUGUUAGCGGCGGACGGGUGAGUAACACGUGGAUAACCUACCUAUAAGACUGGGAUAACUUCGGGAAACCGGAGCUAAUACCGGAUAAUAUUUUGAACCGCAUGGUUCAAAAGUAAAAGACGGUCUUGCUGUCACUUAUAGAUGGAUCCGCGCUGCAUUAGCUAGUUGGUAAGGUAACGGCUUACCAAGGCAACGAUGCAUAGCCGACCUGUGAGGGUGAUCGGCCGCACUGGAACUGAGACACGGUCAAGACUCCUACGGGAGGCAGCAGUAGGGAAUCUUCCGCAAUGGGCGAAAGCCUGACGGAGCAACGCCGCGCGAGUGAUGAAGGUCUUCGGAUCGUAAAACUCUGUUAUUAGGGAAGAACAUAUGUGUAAGUAACUGUGCACAUCUUGACGGUACCUAAUCAGAAAGCCACGGCUAACUACGUG
rnacentral:rRNA from 1 species